rnacentral:rRNA from 1 species
CACACCGCCCGUCACACCACGAAAGUCGGUUGCACUAGAAGUCGGUGGGCCAACUCGCAAGAGAGGCAGCCGCCUAAAGUGUGAUCGGUAAUUGGGGUG